rnacentral:rRNA from 1 species
UGGGGAAUAUUGGACAAUGGGCGAAAGCCUGAUCCAGCCAUGCCGCGUGUGUGAAGAUGGUCUUCGGAUUGUAAAGCACUUUAAGUUGGGAGGAAGGGCAUUAACCUAAUACGUUAGUGUUUUGACGUUACCGACAGAAUAAGCACCGGCUAACUCUGUGCCAGCAGCCGCGGUAAUACAGAGGGUGCAAGCGUUAAUCGGAAUUACUGGGCGUAAAGCGCGCGUAGGUGGUUUGUUAAGUUGGAUGUGAAAUCCCCGGGCUCAACCUGGGAACUGCAUUCAAAACUGACUGACUAGAGUAUGGUAGAGGGUGGUGGAAUUUCCUGUGUAGCGGUGAAAUGCGUAGAUAUAGGAAGGAACACCAGUGGCGAAGGCGACCACCUGGACUAAUACUGACACUGAGGUGCGAAAGCGUGGGGAGCAAACA